UGGGGAAUAUUGCACAAUGGGCGCAAGCCUGAUGCAGCCAUGCCGCGUGUGUGAAGAAGGCCUUCGGGUUGUAAAGCACUUUCAGCGGGGAGGAAGGCGAUAAGGUUAAUAACCUUGUCGAUUGACGUUACCCGCAGAAGAAGCACCGGCUAACUCCGUGCCAGCAGCCGCGGUAAUACGGAGGGUGCAAGCGUUAAUCGGAAUUACUGGGCGUAAAGCGCACGCAGGCGGUCUGUCAAGUCGGAUGUGAAAUCCCCGGGCUCAACCUGGGAACUGCAUUCGAAACUGGCAGGCUAGAGUCUUGUAGAGGGGGGUAGAAUUCCAGGUGUAGCGGUGAAAUGCGUAGAGAUGUGGAGGAAUACCGGUGGCGAAGGCGGCCCCCUGGACAAAGACUGACGCUCAGGUGCGAAAGCGUGGGGAGCAAACAGG
rnacentral:rRNA from 1 species